GAACGCGAAGAACCUUACCUGGUCUUGACAUGUACGAAAUCCUCCAGAGACGGAGGAGUGCCUUCGGGAGCCGUAACACAGGUGCUGCAUGGCUGUCGUCAGCUCGUGUCGUGAGAUGUUGGGUUAAGUCCCGCAACGAGCGCAACCCUUGUCAUUAGUUGCCAUCAUUAAGUUGGGCACUCUAAUGAGACUGCCGGUGACAAGCCGGAGGAAGGUGGGGAUGACGUCAAGUCCUCAUGGCCCUUAUGACCAGGGCUUCACACGUCAUACAAUGGUCGGUACAGAGGGUAGCCAAGCCGCGAGGUGGAGCCAAUCUCACAAAACCGAUCGUAGUCCGGAUUGCACUCUGCAACUCGAGUGCAUGAAGUCGGAAUCGCUAGUAAUCGCAGGUCAGCAUACUGCGGUGAAUACGUUCCCGGGUCUUGUACACACC
rnacentral:rRNA from 1 species